UCUAGGCAGCCAUAUCACCCUGCAGCCCAAGACUGGUUGCCCACUGAAGCUAAGCAGGGUUGAGCCUGGUCAGUACCUGGAUGGGAGAUCUCCUGGGAAAACUAGGUUGCUGCUGGAA
ensembl:rRNA 5S_rRNA 5S ribosomal RNA